GUGUUCGCUGCCCUCACGGGUAGCAAACCUCACCCUUGUGUAUUAUAUCUUUGUUGCUUUGGCACGCCGCCUUCGGGUACCGGCUUCGGCUGGCUCGCGCGUGUCAGAGAACCUAAAACUCUGAAUGUUAGUGUCGUCUGAGUAAAAAGUUUAAUAUUUAAAACUUUCAACAACGGAUCUCUUGGCUCU
rnacentral:misc_RNA from 1 species